rnacentral:tmRNA from 1 species
GGGGGUGAACGGUUUCGACUUUGGUCGUCGGAUCAGGGGAAGCGGGCCGAGGAAGGCGGCGUCCCCCUCGUAAAAAGUCGCCGCGAAAAAAUAAGCGCCAACGCUAAGCGCGCCGACUUCGCCCUUGCUGCCUGAGCAAGGGAGCUAACGAAGUCUGUCAGCCCGGGUUCGCCUCCAGCCCGGAUGCUGGCAUCAGCGAGGAGGCUCACCCAGGGACCCGGCCGCGGGGUCCUGCGGGGACAGCGCACAGCGGCUGGGCCCGUCAGCGACUUGCCUGCGUGAUCGCUGGGGCCGAGUAACAACAACAGCAGGCUGCGCCCGGAGAAGCCCUGGUUCGGUGCCAAAGGACGCGGGUUCGAUUCCCGCCACCUCCACUU